GAAAUGCGAUAAGUAAUGUGAAUUGCAGAAUUCAGUGAAUCAUCGAAUCUUUGAACGCACCUUGCACCCUUUGGCAUUCCGAAGGGUAUGCUCGUUUGAGUGUCAUUGUACUCUCACACUCCCAGUUUUUGGAUUGGGUAGCGGUGGACUUGGGUGUUGCUGCUUUGCUGUGGCUCGCCUCAAAUGGAGUAGUGCAACUCUCGGUUGGACAUAGUACGGCGUGAUAAGUAUCUUCGCCGGCGCCUCACUCGAGGGUGGCCGAUCGGGAGCUCUGUGCUUUCGAACCGUCUUUCGGGACACUAUCUGACAACUUGACCUCAAAUCGAGUAGGACUACCCGCUGAACUUUAAGCAUAUCAAUAAGCGGAGGAAAAGAAACUAACAAGGAUUCCCCUAGU
rnacentral:rRNA from 1 species